ACCAUAUGUUUAAGGUAUAUUCCUUACUGAACAUUCUUUGAUGACGAAUGUUUUGAAGUAUUAUAAUGUUAAUUAAUGAAUAUCCAAACGAAGAAAUAAGACUCAAUUGAUUAUCAAUAUGUGCAACGUAAAAAUACUUUUUUUUUCGAAAUGCUCAUCGGUAGAGUUAUGUUUAUUUAUCUGAAGAACAGACAUAUAUGUGGUAUGAAAAUCCGUGAAAUAUUCAUAACUGCAUCAUAUUUGACAUGUUUGAUAUACAUCUUUUUGUUUUUUACAGUUUGUCGUACUUGUGGAGACUGGUAACAAUACCACCAUUACUAUCAUUACUAUUAAGCAUUUGUUACCUAUCAAUAUAUACUGCCGUUCAUUGCAAUACAUUACUCGCGAUUAAUAUUGAAAUGAAUAUAUGGAAAACACUAGUUCUUAAGUAUGCUAUGAUAACGCAACCUUUAUGCUAGGUGUAGCAGAUAUUUGUCUUUUGUUGUCUUGUAUGUUCAGGCGUGUAUCUACUCAUCACCGACAACAUUGAACCAGUCAACUCAAACGGCGGAGUUAGUGAUGCUUGAAAGCCAUGGACAUUUCCACGUCUAGAUGUACCCGUUGCCAUAGACGUCAACAACUGGAAUCAGUGUUACGGAAAGAUGCCUUAAUGAGGCUGCGGUAUGUUCAUAUCUGUCUCCAUGUGAUAGCGCGGAACUGAUGUCGACACUACAGUGCUACCCCACUGAAGUUUACGGGCAGAGGCUCCCAACAAGACACCCUACUCGAUCCAAAGACAACUGAAAACCUGACGGAUACCGCGGACAUCCAACACAAGGCUAGCGAUGAUUUUAUACCUUUCGCUACAAUACUGUUGCAUGUCCUUUCCGUGACAAUGCUGUUAUUGAUAAAUAAUAUGGUUAUCAAUAUUUUUGUUUGGGAAAUGUGGCAAAAAAAACCACAACAUGACAUUAAGAUGAGUCCAAUUAACGUCAGAAAGUUUAUGUGAAAACAAAUUAAGAGAUAUACUCAAACAUGGAUUUAUCCUAGGCCUUUAUACUAUGUUCAAUACAGCAAAACAUGAUUGCCUUCUCUUAUUAUCGAGUAAAUGAAGAGUUGAUAACAUUUGUGUCCUGUUAGGUUUGUUGAAGUAUCUCUGUUACAUUACGUAAAUAGAAAGAUAGUAUACCACAGUUUACAUACAUGUAGAAGUAUUAUACUAACGAGCAGUUCUGAGGGGAAAACAACAUGAAAAAAAACAAUGAGAACAGACAACUAACGGAGAAUCACCCUUAAGUAAAGAUAUUCUGUAUAUAUAAUGUAUAGGCCCAAAUCCCAUAUAUUAUACAACUUCAGAUCAAAUGAAGUUCAAUAUCUGCGAAAGUAGAACGCGAUCCUCUCAGUAACACAAUGUCUGCCAAAGUAGAACGCGAUCUUCUCAAUAACACAUUAUUCAUCAAUUUAUUUUAUCAUAUCAUUUUUGCAUUCAUAUUUGUGAGUUAACAGUCCGUUUUAUCCACAGUUCUAUGAUUUCUAAGACAUUUUUGACACUGGUCCCAUAUUUAUAGAAAUUAUAGUGACCCGCUUUUGCGGUGUCUAACUCACCUGCUAUUUCGCUAGCACCUUCUCAAAUUAAAUGUCGCUCCCGGAUAUACAUUAUAUUGUUUCGUAACCACCACUUAAUAUUGUUCUCUGAUAUAUUAUGACAUUGAUCUUAACCAAUUCAAGCACUUCGUUUAGCAGUAAGAAUUGGCUAUUUCCGCAUGUGCGUUUCCUCUUUUCGUGAAUUACUUACGCAUUAACUCGAAGUCAACUGUCCGUGUUUAUAGCUUGUGCAAGGAAUACAUGGAGUCAAACAGGUCAGACUUGGUUUUGUUAUUUAUUACAAAUAAGGAACUCUGGAAGAUAUUGAAGAUAGGGUUCAAGCAGGACAGACUUGUUUUUGUAAUUGGUUAUAAAACAAGGAAUCCCGGGAGAUAUUGAAGAUGGGUGAAACAGGACAUACUGGUUUUUGUUAUUUGUUUGUUAUACAUUGUGACAUAUCUUAAAUACCACUUCAUAGUCUUUGUUGACAUUUUAAUUUGCGGCAAAAUGUCACAGUUAGACAUGACAUUUUAGGGCAAAUUAGACGCUACAAUCCAACAUAUUGUAAAAUUGUGUCAGUAACUGACACCGCAAUUUUAUCUUUUGAUACGAAUUCAGGAUUUAAAUAUGCUCAUGAAGUAAAGUUAUAGCGUAAGUUCUAUUUUCAAUGUCAGAUUACAAAAAUACGAAAAUGAAAACGAUGAAUAACUUUAUUGUAAUUGACAUAUUAUAUCAAUUAACAAUUAAAAACGUAUUAUGCAACAUAUUCAUUGCAUUAAAAUGUUUUUCAAAGAAGAUUACAAACAUUAUUCGCUUAUUCAACAAUGAUCAAGAUUGACAGUAUCGUAUACAAGACAAGAACGUGCGGUUAUACAUGUAUAUAUAUAAACGAUUAUAUAAAAUCAGAAAGGUAACAAAUGAAGUAUAUUAAACACAUAUUUCAACAACAUUAUUAUCAAAAAUGAUAUAUGACAUAUAUUAUAACAUAUAUUAUAACUGAUGACUUGUUUAAUUGUUCUUAUUUUAGAAUUGUUUCCAAAACAAUGAUAAUGCAAUAUGGCAUAGAAUACGUCGUUCUGAUUAUAACUUUACAACCGGAAAUGAUGACAACACACAGAUAUACAUGUAUAUGUAAUAUUUUAUAUAAUAUAUAACUUAACGAAAACAUUGCAAAUAAAUAACGUCAGUAAAUAAACAAUAUGAAUGAUAAAAGUCUCAUAAAUUAUGUCAAUAUACGAAUGCUUAGCCAAACAUAAUUUCUUUUAUAUCAUGUCCGGCCAAGUAGCAAGCAGUUUUUGCUACAGUCACCAAGUUUCAGCAGCCAUUCUGCAUCGGAGACCUUUGAUUCACUGUCUAUAUGGCAGGCAUAUAAAGUCACAGGGGGAAGACAUUCAUGAUAUGGUAUACUAUGAAGGUCUUUGUGGCGGUUUUUAUGUCAACCCCACUAAGGCUAGCAUAGGUUCUUGUAUGUUUUUAUCUACAUUUUGAUAUUGAUUGUAGUUGCCAUUAUUGUAUGGGUGCAACUACUUUGCAAUCAUAAAAAAAUAUUUCAUGUUAGAAGCCACUAGGUGGCUUUCUUAGUAAUAAAUUUAAAUGUCACCCUGGUGGGUGGCCAUUUCAAUUUCAUAUACUGAGUUAUUCUUGAUAUAUGUGGAGGGGCAUAAAUGCUAGCUAAGCAAUUAGCUUAUUUUUAAGCUCGUAACUCAUAUCAAGAUCUUUUCUUUAAUUCUUUUUCGUGUCUUUAUUUUGUAUAAUUUAAUGGUACAUGACUCUUUGAUUAUGCCAAUAUUUCUAGGCUAAUAUUUAUGGGAACAUGUAUCCUUAAUACUGGUUGUUACUAAUUUUUUUGUUGGCUGCUGAUGACGGAAUUCAAUAUCUGACUUCUGAUUGGUUGAAUUGGCCUGAGGGGACGCAUCCCUUUUCUCCCUUCAGCAGCCAUAUUGGAUUUAUUAGAUCGCACAUACAUACUGGCAAAGUUUUUUCAAACCCACCUCUCUUCCUCCCCUUGUUUGGGGUUACAAUAAAUAAGUGGUACUAUAUUGUCACUAUUGAUAAUUGAUAUGAUGAAAAUGUUGUAGUUUUUUAUGUGUUGAUUAUAUUCGUAUAGUGGGUGCCAUAUUGGCGACAUGUAUUAUUCCUUUAAUGUUGUUUAAUGUUUAUGUACAAGUUAAAAAAAAUUCAAAUGUACACCCUGCUUUCAGUUCAGUCCACGGUUUUCCAGAGUUUUUUUAUAUCGUCUUUUUAUCUCUGGUUUUUAGCCCAGGACUGGAUCUUUAUGUCAUAUUUUGUGGCGGUUUUCAACCCUACUAAGGCUAGCAUGGCGGCGGUUUUUAUGUCAACCCCACUAAGGCUAGCAUAGGUUCUUGUAUGUUUUUAUCUACAUUUUGAUAUUGAUUGUAGUUGCCAUUAUUGUAUGGGUGCAACUACUUUGCAAUCAUAAAAAAAUAUUUCAUGUUAGAAGCCACUAGGUGACUUUUUUAGUAAUAAAUUUAAAUGUCACCUUGGUGGGUGGCCAUUUCAAUUUCA